AACGUAGGUGGCGAGCGUUAUCCGGAUUUACUGGGCGUAAAGCGUGCGCAGGCGGUUUUGUAAGCCAGAUGUGAAAUCCCCGGGCUUAACCUGGGAACUGCAUUUGGGACUGCAAGGCUUGAGUGCGGCAGAGGAGACUGGAAUUCCUGGUGUAGCAGUGAAAUGCGUAGAUAUCAGGAGGAAUACCGAUGGCGAAGGCAGGUCUCUGGGCUGACACUGACGCUCAUGCACGAAAGCGUGGGGAGCAAACAGG
rnacentral:rRNA from 1 species